CCUGUGUAUACGCCCUUAACUACAAUUAGGCAUGAUCUAACGCUAGCCACUUUAUUGUAGCCUAGCUACCAUACCAACAUGACAUACUUCUAAAGCAAUAAUAAAACAGUGCAUCUCCCCGGCAGCGGCGGGGAGUGCAGCACCCCCUACCUGCAGCACGGCGUAGUUGCUGAGCACGGAGCAGCGCAGGGUGGAGAUGGUGGCGUCGCUGUGGGCCAGCUGGCAGCCUUCCUGGCUCCAACCCCCCUGCAGCUCCAGGGCCUGGGGGCUCCAGUGAGCCGCCAUGGGGUCGCUGCCCGGAGACGCGUGCCGAAGGGACACCACGAUGGGGUCCGAGCGGUUCCACAUGUCACAGCCGUCUGACGGAGAGAGGAAGGGGACUCAGACCGCGAGCACUGGGACUCAUGUACAUGCUAUAGAUUCAUCUUCUGCAUUCUGCACAGAAAACUAUUCACAAUUACUCUCAUUGAUUUGUCUAAAAAAAUCAAUUACUUGAUUUGUCAGUGUGUGGUUUAUUAUUGAUGACUUGGGGUCAGUCAGCCUUAGGAUGGGAAUUUUUAAAACAUUUCAUUGGUACUGUGUGCACUGAGUCUCGUGGAUUUAUAUGGGCCUGGUAUAGAUUUAUUUUGUGUUUUCUGUGCUGAUAAUUGUUCAAAACUACUCAUUGAUUUGUCAGUGCACGGUAUAUUAUUGAUGACUUGGGUUCGAUCAGCUUUCUCAAUGAAAAUUUGUCAGAAUGAAGGGAAUUUAAAAAAUGUUUAAUAGUUUC